rnacentral:rRNA from 1 species
AUUGAACGCUGGCGGCAGGCCUAACACAUGCAAGUCGAGCGAGAAAGGUCUUCGGACUGAGUAGAGCGGCGGACGGGUGAGUAACGCGUAGGAAUUUGCCCAGUAGUGGGGGACAACUCGGGGAAACUCGAGCUAAUACCGCAUACGCCCUAUGGGGGAAAGCAGGGGAUCUUCGGACCUUGCGCUAUUGGAUAAGCCUGCGUUGGAUUAGCUAGUUGGUGGGGUAAGGGCCCACCAAGGCGACAAUCCGUAGCUGGUCUGAGAGGAUGAUCAGCCACACUGGGACUGAGACACGGCCCAAACUCCUACGGGAGGCAGCAGUGGGGAAUAUUGGACAAUGGGGGCAACCCUGAUCCAGCCAUGCCGCGUGUGUGAAGAAGGCCUUAGGGUUGUAAAGCACUUUCAGUAGGGAGGAAAAGCUAAUGGUUAAUACUCAUUACCCCUGACGUUACCUACAGAAAAAGCACCGGCAAACUCCGUG